rnacentral:rRNA from 1 species
UACGUAGGGCGCAAGCGUUGUCCGGAAUUACUGGGCGUAAAGCGUGCGCAGGCGGUUGUGUAAGUCAGAUGUGAAAUCCCCGGGCUCAACCUGGGAAUUGCAUUUGAGACUGCACGGCUAGAGUGUGUCAGAGGGGGGUAGAAUUCCACGUGUAGCAGUGAAAUGCGUAGAGAUCGGGAGGAACAUCAGUGGCGAAGGCGGCCAUCUGGGUUAACACUGACGCUCAGGCACGAAAGCGUGGGGAGCAAACAGG